GUGGGGAAUAUUGGACAAUGGGCGAAAGCCUGAUCCAGCCAUGCCGCGUGUGUGAAGAAGGUCUUCGGAUUGUAAAGCACUUUAAGUUGGGAGGAAGGGCAGUAAGUUAAUACCUUGCUGUUUUGACGUUACCGACAGAAUAAGCACCGGCUAACUUCGUGCCAGCAGCCGCGGUAAUACGAAGGGUGCAAGCGUUAAUCGGAAUUACUGGGCGUAAAGCGCGCGUAGGUGGUUUUGUAAGUUGGAGGUGAAAUCCCCGGGCUCAACCUGGGAACUGCCUCCAAAACUGCAUGACUGGAGUACGGUAGAGGGUAGUGGAAUUUCCUGUGUAGCGGUGAAAUGCGUAGAUAUAGGAAGGAACACCAGUGGCGAAGGCGACUACCUGGACUGAUACUGACACUGAGGUGCGAAAGCGUGGGGAGCAAACAGGAUUAGAAACCCUGGUAGUCC
rnacentral:rRNA from 1 species